UUCUCAAUGUGUAGAAGAUGUUAGACAG
rnacentral:piRNA from 1 species